rnacentral:ribozyme from 14 species
AAGAAAAGAAAGAAGCAGCUAGAAAGAAGAAAGAACAAGAAAAAAAAGAACAGGAUAAUGCUUUGUUAGAAACUUGUCUCUCUGCUCUUUUCUCUUCGUUUUCCUUUAAUUUCCGAUCUCUUA